GUAAGCGACACCUUAGUCUUUGUUUAGUGAAGAAAAGUGAAAAGAUGUAGGUGUCUGUCUGUCUUUAUCUCUGGCAAGCACUGCUCCUGCUCUCUGACUGUGAGUGAGUGCUGAGCGGAAGAGGAAAUAGUUCCUGUCCUGCACAGCUAUACAGCUCAUUUAUUUCAUUUCGACACUUGUGAUGUGCGGUUACUUAUUUCCAAGCCAACCUGCUAUUUUAAAAACUACUUUGAAAGAAGCAUUUAUAAUCGAUAUGAUAGCACGAGGAUCUAUCCUGAUGAAUGAAGGAAUCAGAGUAUCGCGGUUUGAAGAUCCCUCCGCCGCCCAGCUGCACUAACUCCAGCAGCGGCGACUCACACUCACAGAGCCUGCUCACGCUGCACUCCUCCGCGUGUGAGCGUGUCUACUCUCCCGCUUAAAAACAACCCUCAAACCCACCCGAGAGGCUCAAACAAGACUCUGCUCUGCUGAAGUCGAUAGCUGUGCGUGUGGUGACUAAAUAUGAAGGCCAAGCUUCAUUCCGACGGGCCUCAGAGUUGCUCCAACAGCGACGAGGAGGAGACGGACAGCCUCAGCGACAGCCAGUAUAUCGUUGUCAAGCUUGAAGAUGAAGAGGAAGAUCCAGAAACCGAGAUGGAUCUGAGUAUAUUCGCUCCUGUCGAGUCCUCGGAGUGUGAGGAGGAGGAAGAGGAUGAAGGGGAGCUCUCAGAGUCGUCCAGUGUUUCUAGCUGGAGAAGGACAGACACCAGAGAGAGAGAUAACCCGGAGGAUCCAGCGCCCCUUGAGCAACAGUCUUCCAGGAGGUGUUUAAAAGGACAGCGACGGAGCCGACAGACCUUUCUGGCUGCGCAGAGACACAAGCAGAGUCUGGACUGUAGUGCAGCAAGCAGGGCCGUGAAUGUCGGACUCCCGUCUGAGAAUCACACAUUUUGCCAAGCUGCUCCUCCGUUUGAUUCAGCCCGAGGUCCUGUAGAGACGUCUGGACUGGACACAGCAAUCAGCCCUUUAGCUGCCAUGGAGCCUCCUGUAUUUCCAAAUGCACCAGUACAGAGCACAUCUGUCGUCGGGGAGGAUCAGCAGAAUAUACUACUCGAGGUCCUGAACCAUUGUAGGUUCCUGCAUGCAGCAGUGCAGAGGCUUGAGCAGAAGAUUGACAGACAGAUGUCAAAUGAGCCAUUAUAUGAAAAAAGCUCAGAGAUGCUGAAGAAUGGUCCAAAGAGAAGGGCGUCUCUGCGUGUUGAAGAAAGGCAGCUGUCCUGGUCUUUGGCCCAGAGACUUGAUCCACCAGUCCAGAGAAACCCACGCUGGAUCCCUCCCUGGAAACGAGGGCUGGACAGGGCGGAUCUUCAGCAGGCUGACAACAGCAGCCCUCAGCCGGGCAAACCUCCUGGCGGCGGACGAGGCAGAGGCAGGGGCAGAGGACGGGGUCGCAGGGGGCGCGGUAACGGAUCCCAGCGCCAGUCUCAAACUCCUGAUCCUGCUUCACUCAUGUCAAAGCCCAAUGGAGAAGAGGUCUGCACUGCAUCCACAGAUGACCCCCAGCCGUCCCAGGUAAUGAAGGACAGCUCUCCGGCUAACACAGGCUCAAAGCUUCAGCAGAAAAGAAAGAAAUCCUUUACUCAGGUGGACGGGGAGGAUGAAAAUGAACUGGAGAAGAUGCCCAAGAGUAAAGAGGCCACACUCGAAGUUCAGGUUGACAGCAAAGGUAGGAUGUAAAUAAGAUUGCCUGAGAUGAAGGAAUAAUCAAUUAAAAGUGUAGUUUCAUGG
ensembl:lncRNA uncharacterized LOC107558914